UGAGAAGAGUCUCAGCUGUACGCCUUUUUGCAGAUCCUUUCUCCAAGAUUUUAUAAAUUUAAUUUUCUGUGCACACUAUCUCUUCUUCCAAGCCUCUCACAAAAACACCACCUUUUCCAUCUUCCAUGAGAGCUAUCGGUUUCUUAGUUUUGUCAUCUAUAAACUUUGUGCUCUCCUCUGGGGCCAACAGAUCAGUUAUCUCCUCAUUAUACAGCUAAAGGUGAUUGGGAAACUAAAAAUUUAGCAGCUGACAUUAGGUAUUAAAUAUUUUGUCAUCAGGUCUAUUUGAGAUCAGCUUCAUGAAGUAUGCUAUUCAGUUGGUUAAGUGUCGUGAAAAUAUGGUACUUGUUGUACUUUCUUUGCAUUAGGCUUUUGUCUCUAUGCCUCCUCACAGAGUUUAGUUUCACGCUACACAUUCACUCCAUAUGUAGGAAGUCAUGCUGCAGUUAAAGUAGAAAUUUUGACAGCUAUGGCUUGUUGCAGUCUUGGGCUUAGCUUGAAUACUAGUAAUUUUAGUAUGAAAAAACUCCUUGUAAACUCAUUACCAACUGGGGCUUUGGUGGAAGGCUUACCUAUGUUUGGUUCUAAAAGCGUCAGCAUUGUUCAAAAGGAAAGGUAUGGUGCGUGGACCCCAAAAAGACUAAACAGUUUAUUUGAUUGGAAAUUAAUCUAUGCAAUUUUCAUGAUUAGAAAUCUUAUUUGUUUUUCAGUUGAGUUAAUUGAAGCGUUUUUUUUUUUUUUUUUUUGGGUUCUUUCAUUCAAUGUAAAGUUUCUGGUACCCUGAAUUCUAAUUAUAUUGAUUGGAGAUGCCUUAUUUAAUUUCAGAUUAUUCUGCUUUGUGUGUGAAUUAAUCACUUGAUGCUUCUUUCAAUCUUCAUAUGUAUUGAGUAGUUUCUGGUCUAAAAUCAAGUAUUUACAGUCCCACAUAUUAGAAUAUAAAACAUAAAUUACACAGAGCUUGGUAUGGUAUGAAAUUUUGGGCACAUCAGGUUAUCAAGGUAUGGUUAUGAUGUUAGUUUGCCUCUGUAGAUAUGCAACUGCUCACUUUGUCAUAAGUUGACAAGUUUAGAUCAGAGGCUGUGCAAAAUGAAACUUUAUUGUCAUGUCUUUUGAGCCCAAAGCCUUGAUUAUGGCUCAAAUUCAAGGUUCAAAAAUCACAUUGAGAACUGAUAGACGAUAUUGGGUCUUAGUGCUCCAAACAUUUGAUUCCUCGUAUCUAUCUUGUACUUGUACAUAGUUACCUUGCUGGAACAUUCUUGAGAUAUGAAAACAUUUAACUGGGGUCUUUUAUAGUUUUUGCUAUUCUUUUAUCUUCUAAGUGUAUCUGCAAUCCUUGAUAGAUGUUGUCUUCAUCGGCUUCAAUAAUUGCACAAGCAUCAUCUACUAUAGUUGUGCAGGUAUUUGACAGAUUUAAUUUAUACUUUGCCAUUCUUGAGUAUUAAUUUUCUGAAACCCCAUUUUUUCUGUGCUUUUUAUGUUGAAAAUAGGAUGAUAAGCCGGAUGAAAGCCGCCAUCACAACAUUUUCAGCAUAUACAGUGAAAAAUUCUAUGCAAACUCUGAAGGCAAGUGAUUGGCAUCUUGAAGGAGCUAGGAGCAUUUAAUAUAUUCUACAGCCAAGCCACGAGAGGAGAACAAAAAACAAAUGUCCAAGCUCUAGAGUACAUGCAUUGUAAAUUAUUUUGCUAGUCAGCUUCAAUAGUUAGGUCUUAUGGAACAGUUAAUGACUAUUGUGGAUGUAUUUUGAUGGCUGUAAUGACAUUGGAGUUUUCAGAAUGAA